CUUAUCAAGAGCGACAGAGGGAACAGGCCCUGUGAAGUCCGGCAACCUGCUUUUGCAAGGUGCUAAAUCCUGCGGUAUUACCGAAAGAUGAG
rnacentral:ncRNA from 1 species